UACAGAGACUGCAAGCGUUAUUCGGAUUCACUGGGCGUAAAGGGUGCGCAGGCGGCUAGAUGUGUCAGGUGUGAAAUCCCGAGGCUCAACCUCGGAACUGCGCCUGAAACUAUUUAGCUAGAGUAUUGGAGAGGGUAACGGAAUUCACGGUGUAGCAGUGAAAUGCGUAGAUAUCGUGAGGAACACCAGAGGCGAAGGCGGUUACCUGGACAAUUACUGACGCUCAGGCACGAAAGCGUGGGGAGCAAAAGGG
rnacentral:rRNA from 1 species